GACAGAGGUGCCGAGCGUUAGGCGGAAUCACUGGGCUUAAAGCGUGUGUAGGCGGGCCCGUAAGUACCUUGUGAAAUCCCACCGCUCAACGGUGGAACUGCUCGGUAUACUGCGGGUCUUGAGCCACCUAGGGGCAGCCGGAACAAGCGGUGGAGCGGUGAAAUGCGUAGAGAUCGGGAGGAACACCAGAGGCGAAGGCGGCCACCUGGACAAGCACUGACACUCAACUGCGAAAGCGUGGGGAGCAAACAGG
rnacentral:rRNA from 1 species